GGUGGCUGCUCAAUGGUAGAGUGCUUGUCUAGCAUGUGUGAGGCACUGGGUUCAAUCCUCAGCACCA
rnacentral:tRNA from 1 species